UAGGGAAUCAUCGGCAAUGGACGAAAGUCUGACCGAGCAACGCCGCGUGAGUGAAGAAGGUUUUCGGAUCGUAAAACUCUGUUGUUAGAGAAGAACAAGGACGUUAGUAACUGAACGUCCCCUGACGGUAUCUAACCAGAAAGCCACGGCUAACUACGUGCCAGCAGCCGCGGUAAUACGUAGGUGGCAAGCGUUGUCCGGAUUUAUUGGGCGUAAAGCGAGCGCAGGCGGUUUCUUAAGUCUGAUGUGAAAGCCCCCGGCUCAACCGGGGAGGGUCAUUGGAAACUGGGAGACUUGAGUGCAGAAGAGGAGAGUGGAAUUCCAUGUGUAGCGGUGAAAUGCGUAGAUAUAUGGAGGAACACCAGUGGCGAAGGCGGCUCUCUGGACUGUAACUGACGCUGAGGCUCGAAAGCGUGGGGAGCAAACAGG
rnacentral:rRNA from 1 species